rnacentral:rRNA from 1 species
UACGGGGGGGGCAAGCGUUGUUCGGAAUUACUGGGCGUAAAGGGCUCGUAGGCGGCCAACUAAGUCAGACGUGAAAUCCCUCGGCUUAACCGGGGAACUGCGUCUGAUACUGGAUGGCUCGAGUUUUGGGAGAGGGAUGCGGAAUUCCAGGUGUAGCGGUGAAAUGCGUAGAUAUCUGGAGGAACACCGGUGGCGAAGGCGGCAUCCUGGACCAACACUGACGCUGAUGAGCGAAAGCCAGGGGAGCAAACGGG